rnacentral:rRNA from 1 species
ACCCGCUGAACUUAAGCAUAUCAAUAAGCGGAGGAAAAGAAACUAACAAGGAUUCCCCUAGUAACUGCGAGUGAAGCGGGAAGAGCUCAAAUUUUAAAUCUCACCGUCUGUCGAUGGUGCGAGUUGUAAUCUAGAGAGGUAUCUGUCCGGUGCUGGCCCUACGUACAAAUCCUUUGGAAUAAGGUGUCAUAGAGGGUGAGAAUCCCGUUCAUGACGUAGUGGAACGAUCCAGUGUCUUUUUGUGUCGGUACCUUCGAAGAGUCGAGUUGUUUGGGAAUGCAGCUCAAAACGGGUGGUAAAUUCCAUCUAAAGCUAAAUAUUGGCGAGAGACCGAUAGCGAACAAGUACCGUGAGGGAAAGAUGAAAAGCACUUUGAAAAGAGAGUGAAAGAGUACGUGAAAUUGCUAAAAGGGAAACGCUUGAAGUCAGUCGCGCCUGAGAAGCUUCGGCUUCGACUGGCGGGUCAGCAUCAGUUUCAUCCGUUGCAUAAAACCGGGCGGAAGGUAGCUUGCUCGGUGCUCUUCGGCACUCGGGCGAGUAUCUUAUAGCUGCCCGGCCAUACAACGGAAAGGGGACUGAGGACCGCACAGGGGAGCACGGCAUGUCCCGUUCCCCCUUUGUAAGGAUGCUGGCAAAAUGGCUUUAAACGACCCGUCUUGAAACACGG